CUAAAAUCACUAAACUGGCCACAUCCCGCUAAGAUUUUCAAACGGGGAAAGACGUUUGAUAAUUCCAAAUUCAAUUUUCGUUCAGUCAUGUGACCAAAAUGAUGAAGUCAUGUGAUCAAAUUGUUUCAUCAUUUUGGUCACAUGACUUCACGAUUUUGUUAUCAAUUUAUUUUUGUACAUGGGUUUUUAAUUUUAUUAUCCAAUCAGGUGCGUAGUUUUGAAUUAAACGUCAGAAAUUCGUUACUCAACAGUCAAGUUAUUCAAACGUAAACAAGGUCACAAACAUCCAAACGAAGGUCAAUGCAACAGAAUAUAUGAAAUAUUCGUAUUAUGUUCAUGUUAAAGUUCCAUAAUCGUAAUAAACAAUCUAUCUAGUAUCUAUCUUAUAAUAUGAUCUGCAUUUUAGCGAAAAUAUGAUCUCCAUCUUGUAAUAUACUGAGUUGUUUCGAAGUUGACUGGGAGUAAUGAUUAUAAAUAGCACUGUCAAAUCGUGAAGUCAUGUGACCAAAAUGAUGAAACAAUUUGAUCACAUGACUUCAUCAUUUUGGUCACAUGACUGAACGAAAAUUGAAUUUGGAAUUAUCAAACGUCUUUCCCCGUUUAUCAAACGUCUUUCCCCGUUUGAAAUUCUUAGCGGGAUGUGGCCAGUUUAGUGAUUUUAGUAAUA